rnacentral:lncRNA from 1 species
CAAGAUUUCAUUGUUUUUGACAGCAGAGUAAUAUUCUGCUGUAGACGUACACCUUGUCUUCUUUUUCCAUUUACCAGUCAGUCACCAGUCUGGCUCUUCCCAGAGUUCAGCUGCUGUCGGCGAUGCUGCCGUAAACAUCGGGGUGCAGGUACCCCUUCAAAUCAGUAUUUUUGUGUUCUUUGGGUAAAUACCUGGUACAGCAAAUGUUGAGUCAUAACGUAGUUCUAUGGUAACAUCCUGCGAGACCUCUGUCCUCUUUCAGAGUGGUUGCUUUUUUGUCAUUAAUGGAACAUGUUUCUUAAUGCUCCUCAGGAAGCGAUGAGUGAUAAAGCAGAGGAGUCCGCUGUUGGGCCCAAAAGUCAAAUGAAACAUUGUGGAAAACCCAUCACUGAACUUCCAUUCAAGAAAAGGCUGACCAUGGUGCUGCUUUCAAUGAGAGAGGAAGUAGAGGGAUCAUCCCAGCCUGAGGGCUCAGCCAUGUCUUCGGAAGAUGAAUAUGAAAUAGUCUCCAAAUUGCUUGAAGGAGUGCAAGGAACUCCAGAAGUGCAGAAAAAAUUUGUUGUAUAUGCCAUGAAGGAAGCGGCAAGGUGAGUGCCGGAGGAACUGUCC